rnacentral:tRNA from 1 species
AGUGAAUAUAGUUUAUUAAAAACUUUAGUCUGUG